UUGAUUUGGCACCAAGAAUAUUAAAAUUAGAAUGACACAGAGAAGGGUGGUAUGGCCCCUGUGCAAAGAUGACAUGCAAAAUUAUAAAAUGUUCUGUAUGUUU